rnacentral:rRNA from 1 species
GAUGAACGCUAGCUACAGGCUUAACACAUGCAAGUCGAGGGGAAACGACAUCGCAAGCUUGCUUUUGAUGGGCGUCGACCGGCGCACGGGUGAGUAACGCGUAUCCAACCUGCCCAUCACUUGGGGAUAACCUUGCGAAAGUAAGACUAAUACCCAAUGAUAUCUCUAGAAGACAUCUGAAAGAGAUUAAAGAUUUAUCGGUGAUGGAUGGGGAUGCGUCUGAUUAGCUUGUUGGCGGGGUAACGGCCCACCAAGGCAACGAUCAGUAGGGGUUCUGAGAGGAAGGUCCCCCACAUUGGAACUGAGACACGGUCCAAACUCCUACGGGAGGCAGCAGUGAGGAAUAUUGGUCAAUGGGCGAGAGCCUGAACCAGCCAAGUAGCGUGCAGGAAGACGGCCCUAUGGGUUGUAAACUGCUUUUAUAAGGGAAUAAAGUGAGAGUCGUGACCCUUUUUGUAUGUACCUUAUGAAUAAGGACCGGCUAAUUCCGUG